UCGUUCAGCUGUUUCUUCAUUCAGCUUCAGUUAUGUGUGAUGGUUUGCAGCUUCUCUUUGUUUCUCAAAAUAAAUACAGCUGAUGCAGAAUCACAAACAACUGUAGAGAGCACAUUAGAUCUCACACACCAUUAAUAACUGUGAGAAUGAAGAACACACAAGAGCCUCAUAUUACAUUCAGUUCAGUUUGUCAGAUUGAGCCAUAACAGCUUCUGUGCGUCUUUGAUUACAAAUACAUGCAGAUAUCAGCUUGACUUUGGCUGUUGAUUACUGUCAGAUAUUUGAGUGACAGCUGUGUGGCUCCUGUCAUAUAAAGCUGUUGUGCUGCUGGAGAAAUAAUAAAGCAGAAAAGAGCAUCAUUUCAGAAGAAGAGAUGCUGAUGAAGAUGUUCUAGUGAUCAAGCAGCAGAUUGAAGCUCUGAAGCUCCUGAAAGAGAUCAACUGUGUUCAGCAGCGAUACUGUGAGUGUUUGUACAGAAUUCAUUUAGUGAAUCCAGUGUUAAAUCAGCGCAGACAGAAAAAUAAAGCAGACGAUCAGGAGACGGAUUCAUUCGGAGUGAAUUCAGCCUCUGUGUUUGAUUCUGCUGAUUUCAGGAUCAAAUGAGUCACUAAUGGACUUUUAUUACAUUUGAUGAGCAGUUUACAAUAGAAAUAUUAAAGCACACAUAUUACUCUGUUUAUUAAAGAUUCAGAACAGUAUGAGAGUCUGGUCUAGAUUCAUAACUUCUGUAUGACGAUGAAAAACUGAUUAAAAAUGAAUAGAAAUGUAAUGAUGUGAGAUUUGAUGAGUUUGUGUGCAUGUGAACAUCAGAAAGAGUCUCUCUAUUGUUUAAUAUCACACAGAGACACUGAGGAAUAAUAUUCAACCCUAAACCCAGCGUAGAGGGGUUCAGUGAAUGUGGUGUUGAAUGUGUGUAAGUGUGUGAGUGUGUGUGUGUCAGAGACGCUGUAGAAGGACAGAGAGCCGGCCGACACGUCCACAUACACUCCUACUCUCUUACAGGAUGAAGAGACAGCAGGUAUAACAGUGCUGUUAUUAUUGUGCCAGACAGUGAAUCUGUAAUCAGAGCAGUUCAGACUCCAGGAUUUGUCAUUGUCUCCAAACACACAGUCUUUAAUCCCUCCUUUCCUGUUGAUUCCUUUAUAUGACACUGAUAUACCAG
ensembl:lncRNA